rnacentral:rRNA from 1 species
GAACGCUAGCGACAGGCUUAACACAUGCAAGUCGAGGGGUAACAGGGUAGCAAUACCGCUGACGACCGGCGCACGGGUGAGUAACGCGUAUGCAACCUGCCUAUAACUGGGGAAUAGCUCCCUGAAAGGGGGAUUAACACCGCAUAACACUAUUGAUUCGCAUGGAUUAGUAGUUAAAUGUAGCGAUACAGGUUAUAGAUGGGCAUGCGUGACAUUAGCUAGUUGGUGAGGUAACGGCUCACCAAGGCUACGAUGUCUAGGGGUUCUGAGAGGAAGGUCCCCCACACUGGUACUGAGACACGGACCAGACUCCUACGGGAGGCAGCAGUGAGGAAUAUUGGUCAAUGGGCGCAAGCCUGAACCAGCCAUGUCGCGUGCAGGAAGACUGCCCUAUUGGGUUGUAAACUGCUUUUAUAGUAGAAGAAACACAUCUACGUGUAGAUGUCUGCCAGUAUACUAUGAAUAAGCAUCGGCUAACUCCGUGCCAGCAGCUGC